GCUGGUGUAGCUCAAUUGGAAGAGCAGCUGACUUGUAAUCAGCAGGUUGC
rnacentral:tRNA from 1 species